rnacentral:rRNA from 1 species
UGAGUACGAGAUGCUACGGCGUCGAAGCAGUGUAUGUCAGACUUCCAAGAAAAGCUUGCAAUGUCUUAAAUAAAUAAUGCCUGUACCAUAACCGACACAGGUGGGUAGGUAGAGUAUACUAAGGGGCGCGAGAUAACUCUCUCUAAGGAACUCGGCAAAAUAACUCCGUAACUUCGGGAGAAGGAGUGCCUUAUUUAAUAAGGUUGCAAUAACAAGAUCCAAGCAACUGUUUAUCAAAAACACAGGUCUCCGCUAAGUCGUAAGACGAUGUAUGGGGGCUGACGCCUGCCCAGUGCCAGAAGGUUAAAGAAGUUGGUUAGCUUCGGCGAAGCUGAUGACUGAAGCCCUGGUGAACGGCGGCCGUAACGAUAACGGUCCUAAGGUAGCGAAAUUCCUUGUCGGGUAAGUUCCGACCCGCACGAAAGGCGUAAUGAUUUGGAUACUGUCUCGGAGAGGGGCUCGGUGAAAUAGACUUGUCUGUGAAGAUGCGGACUACCUGCACCAGGACAGAAAGACCCCAUGAAGCUUUACUGUAACUUGAGAUUGAAAUUGGACUUUAUUUGCGCAGCAUAGGUGGGAGGCGUUGAGAAUAUUCUUGCGGGAAUAUUGGAGCCAUCAGUGAGAUACCACUCCUAUAAUGUUAGAUUUCUAACUUUGUAUCAUUAUCUGGUCAAAGAACAGUUUCAGGCGGGCAGUUUGACUGGGGCGGUCGCCUCCUAAAUGGUAACGGAGGCGUACAAAGGUUUCCUCUGAACGGGUAGAAAUCGUAUCUAGAGUGUAAAGGCAUAAGGAAGCUUGACUGUGAGACCUACAAGUCGAGCAGGGACGAAAGUCGGUCUUAGUGAUCUGACGGUGCUGAGUGGAAAGGCCGUCACUCAACGGAUAAAAGUUACUCUAGGAUAACAGGCUGAUCUCCCCCAAGAGUUCACAUCGACGGGGAGGUUUGGCACCUCGAUGUCGGCUCAUCGCAUCCUGGGGCGGUAGUACGUCCCAAGGGUUGGGCUGUUCGCCCAUGAAAGCGGUACGCGAGCUGGGUUCAGAACGUCGUGAGACAGUUCGGUCCAUAUCCGGUGUAGGCGUUAGAAUAUUGAGAGGAGCCUUCUUUAGUACGAGAGGACCGAGAAGGACAUACCUCUGGUGUACCAGUUAUCGUGCCAACGGUAAACGCUGGGUAGCUAUGUAUGGAGAGGAUAACCGCUGAAAGCAUCUAAGUGGGAAGCCCACCUCAAGAUGAGUAUUCCCA